rnacentral:rRNA from 1 species
AUACGGAGGAUCCGAGCGUUAUCCGGAUUUAUUGGGUUUAAAGGGAGCGUAGGUGGAUUGUUAAGUCAGUUGUGAAAGUUUGCGGCUCAACCGUAAAAUUGCAGUUGAAACUGGCAGUCUUGAGUACAGUAGAGGUGGGCGGAAUUCGUGGUGUAGCGGUGAAAUGCUUAGAUAUCACGAAGAACUCCGAUUGCGAAGGCAGCGCACUGGACUGCAACUGACACUGAUGCUCGAAAGUGUGGGUAUCAAACAGGAUUAGAUACCCUGGUAGUCCACACAGUAAACGAUGAAUACUCGCUGUUUGCGAUAUACAGUAAGCGGCCAAGCGAAAGCAUUAAGUAUUCCACCUGGGGAGUACGCCGGCAACGGUGAAACUCAAAGGAAUUGGCGGG